rnacentral:rRNA from 1 species
UACGAAGGGGGCUAGCGUUGCUCGGAAUCACUGGGCGUAAAGCGCACGUAGGCGGUCUUUUGAGUCAGGGGUGAAAUCCUGGAGCUCAACUCCAGAACUGCCUUUGAUACUGAGAGACUUGAGUCCGGGAGAGGUGAGUGGAACUGCGAGUGUAGAGGUGAAAUUCGUAGAUAUUCGCAAGAACACCAGUGGCGAAGGCGGCUCACUGGCCCGGUACUGACGCUGAGGUGCGAAAGCGUGGGGAGCGAACAGG